rnacentral:rRNA from 1 species
GAUCCUGGCUCAGGAUGAACGCUGGCGGCGUGCUUAAUACAUGCAAGUCGAACGAAGCACCUUGGACAGAAUCCUUCGGGAGGAAGACCAUUGUGACUGAGUGGCGGACGGGUGAGUAACGCGUGGGUAACCUGCCUUGUACAGGGGGAUAACAGUUGGAAACGACUGCUAAUACCGCAUAAGCGCACGGUAUCGCAUGAUACAGUGUGAAAAACUCCGGUGGUAUAAGAUGGACCCGCGUCUGAUUAGCUAGUUGGUGAGGUAACGGCCCACCAAGGCGACGAUCAGUAGCCGGCCUGAGAGGGUGAACGGCCACAUUGGGACUGAGACACGGCCCAAACUCCUACGGGAGGCAGCAGUGGGGAAUAUUGCACAAUGGGGGAAACCCUGAUGCAGCGACGCCGCGUGAGUGAUGAAGUAUUUCGGUAUGUAAAACUCUAUCAGCAGGGAAGAUAAUGACGGUACCUGACUAAGAAGCACCGGCUAAAUACGUG